rnacentral:lncRNA from 10 species
GGCCAUUCCAAGUGCGGGCCCGCAGAUACCACACCCACCCGGAAGUCCUCCUGGCCCACAAGCUCCGCGGCGCAGCCCGGGUUCCCGCCCACGUCUCUCCUUCCGGGGCUCUCACUCCAUACCUCCCCACAAGCUGAGGGAGCCGGCUCCGGCCUCAGCCAGCCCAGAAAGGGGCUCCCACAGUGCAGCGGGCUGAAGGGCUCCUCAAUAGCGACCAGAGUGGGCACCAAGGCCGAGGAGGCACCAAAAGCGAGUGAGGGCUGCGAGGGCUGCGAGGGCUGCCAGCACAUUGUCGCCUCUCAGUAGGGUCUUUGAGAGACAAGGUAUUUCACUGUAACAGACAUCAGACUAAAAGACAAAACCCUGACACUUUGGACAUUUCAGAAGUUAAAAUAAUUGUAUACCCUUCAACUAUUGGAACCAUGUCAGUCAAUGCCCUAUACUAUGCCAAAUGACAGGAUCUUGCUGUGACUCCCAGGCUGAUCACAAACUCCUGACCUCAAGCAACCCUUUCACCUCAGCAUCCCAAAGUGCUGGGAUUACAGGUUGAUCCACUAUGUCUGGCCCAUAAACAGCUAUUUUGCUUGAUAAAUAUCACACCAAGUAUAUUUACAUUUUAAUAUAACAACCAUUCUAUUUUCCCUAAGAUUUCAUUUUCAGUCAUUUUUAUUUUCCUGCCUAAAGAUUUGUAAGAUUUGUUCAUUAGUCUUAUAAUUAAAAAACAAUUGGCUAGAUAAUGUUUCUGUGAGAUUUUAUCUCUCACUUUGCCUGGAACCACAUUAAGCUAUACACUAGGAAUAAUUGUUUAGAAAGGAAUGUAAGAACAUUUUGAUGAUUGUACUUAUUGCAAUUGUACUGGUUUCUUCCCUAGACUUAGAUUUUUAUGGUUUAUUCUCCAGAUUAAUAAUCUCUGUAAUCAUUCCUCUAUGGUUUCCCUUUUAAAACCCACUACACCAAAUUUCUUAUCUGUCACACCAAUUCACUUUGCUAGGUGCAUACUCUA